rnacentral:pre_miRNA from 1 species
CAACUUCGUCGCCCCGGCGGAGGCCGGGGCCGCCAGAGGUUCUUUCGAUGACGUCUCGGCACUAGCCGCUGGCGGCCCCGGCCUCCGCCGGGGCGACGUACGGG